rnacentral:rRNA from 1 species
GGACCAACCCCGCGGGGAAGAAGAAAGUUUUUGGGUUUUUAAAGUUUGUUUUUAGGGGAGAACAAGUUCCGUUAGUAUAGGGCGGUACCUUGACGGUACCUAACGAGAAAGCCCCGGCUAAAUACGUGCCAGCAGCCGCGGUAAUACGUAGGGGGCAAGCGUUGUCCGGAAUUAUUGGGGGUAAAGCGCGCGCAGGUGGUUCCUUAAGUCUGAUGUGAAAGCCCCCGGCUCAACCGUGGAGGGUCAUUGGAAACUGGGGAACUUGAGUGCAGGAGAGGAAAGUGGAAUUCCACGUGUAGCGGUGAAAUGCGUAGAGAUGUGGAGGAACACCAGUGGCGAAGGCGACUUUCUGGCCUGUAACUGACACUGAGGCGCGAAAGCGUGGGGAGCCAACAGGGUUUGAUACCCUGGUAGUCCCCGCCGUAAACGUUUUUUUCUAAGUGUUAGGGGGUUUCCGCCCCUUAGUGCCGCAGCUAACGCAUAAAGCACUCCGCCUGG